GAUUUCUGCAUUAUAAAACUCUCUGGUUCCAUCCCACUCAAAAUUGUUCCCUCUCAAAAACUUGUUUACCUUGAUUUGUCCACCAAUCAAUUUUGGGGAACAUCCACCAGACAUGGGCCUUGCUAACAAAUAUCGAACCUCACCUGCACCACAAACCAGGUGAAUGGGCUCAAUUCCUCAAGAGAUAAGCCAGUGUUAAAGUCUCUUCAGAGCUGCUUUGGGCACAAUCGUCCUCAGUGGUCCCAUUCCGGCUUCUUUGGGUAAUUUGAGCAACUUGACGCUCUAUAUCUCUACGGAAAUCAACUUUCUGGCUUCCAAUCACCAGAGACUUGGACAUUAUCGGUAAUCUCGUGUUGCUUACAUGCGAUUCAUAACAAAUCUAAAAUGUCCUAUUCCUUCAACUUUGUGAACUUGAAUAGGCUAAAUUGGUUGUCCUGUUUGUGAACAAACUUUCUGGUUCCUUCCUCAAGAAUUGGAAACUUGAAGUCCCUCAUCAAUUUAGACUUGAGCCAGGAAUCAAAUCAAUGUACCAUUCCUCCUCGUUAGGUAACCUGUCCAAAUUAGAAACACUAUACUUGCGUGACAACCAACUUUUCUGGUCCCAUUCAACGAAUUCGGUUAAUUUGAAAAACUGAUAUAUGCGAAAUGGAUACAAAUCAGGUUCUGGCCACUACCGGAGAUUUGUGCAAGGUGGGAAACUUCAAAAAUCGUCACGGUGCAAAACAAUCAGCUCACGGGACCAAUCCCCAAAAGUUGAGGGACUGGUAAAGCUAGUCAGAGUCCGCCUUGAAGGAAACCAUUCAACUGGAAGCCUAUCUGAAGCAUUUGGCGUCUAUCCAAAUCUAAUACUUGGAUCUAAGUCGCAAUAAUUAACUUUCGUGGUUGUUGAAAUAUCGAAAACACUGGAGAGUAGGCUGCCCCCAAUUGCAAAAUUUAGCGAUGGCAGGCGAGGGAACAAUAUAAACGGCAGCAUUACCACCAGGUUAGGAGAUUCGCCUCAACUUCAGAGGCUUAACCUUUUUCCAAUCAUUGACGGGGAGAUCAAAAAGGAAUUAGGAAAGUUUAAUUCUCGCUGGAACUCUAUCUGGCAGACAAACAACAUUCCGGAGUAUACUACCAGCACGUGGACUCCCUGGACUAAAUUGCCAGAAGCUUGAACUGUCAAAAAACAGAUUGUAAGUGGGGCAAUAGCAGCUGGAACAUUGGGAGCAUUGUUAUGCAACUGAUGAUUAAACUUGAAUUUGAGAGCAAUUAAUUUUAGCCAAGACCAUCCCAGAGCGGCGAAAUAAAUUACUCACUGCGACCUGGAUAUGAGUCAUAAUU
rnacentral:lncRNA from 1 species